AUGCAGAUUAUCAUCCCAUAUGACAUGUCCAAAGGUUCUGUUUUUUGGAAUUCCAAAUUCAUCAGAAGGAAGAUUUUGUUUCUCUGUUCACUGCAACAGCCCAGAUGCCCAACACUGUCUUCAUGGGUAGUUUCUGUACUAAAGCAAUCAACAGUGUGGGACUGCAAAACCUUGUAAUCUUAGAAUUCUUGUAGCCCUGACUGCAAUUAAAUGUGAGCUAAUGAUUAAGAAGCUUGUUAGUUCUGGGAAGCUAGAUAAAAUUUGUAACAGAUACAGAGUUUUAAAGGUAAAUUACUCAAGUCCUUGUUUGCCCGGAGAUCGGACGUUCCCGGACCCACUAUCAGUACGUGACAGUCGUGACCAUUAGUGUGUGUGUGUCUGCCGACCAUCAUUCCGUGACAGUCGUGACCAUUAGUGUGUGUGUGUGCCGACCAUCAGAACGUGACAGUCGUGACCAUUAGUGUGUGUGCCGACCAUCAGUACGUGACAGUCGACCACUA
rnacentral:lncRNA from 1 species